AAACCUACUUGGUCAGGAUGGAUGAUUAUUUUGAUGUGUCUUGGAUUCAGUUAGCGAGAAUUUUAUUGAGUAUUUUUGCAUCAAUAUUCAUAAGGGAAAUUGGUCUGAAGUUCUCUAUCUUUGUUGGAUCUUUCUGUGGUUUAGGUAUCAGAGUAAUUGUGGCUUCAUAGAAUGAGUUGGGUAGAGUACCAUCUGCUUCUAUUUUGUGGAAUAGUUUGUGAAGAACUGGAAUUAGAUCUUCUUUGAAGGUCUGAUAGAACUCUGCCCUAAACCCAUCUGGUCCUGGGCUUUUUUUGUUUGGGAGACUAUUAAUGACUGCUUCUAUUUCUUUAGGGGAUAUAGAACUGUUUAGAUCAUUAAUAUGAUCCUGAUUUAACUUUGGUACCUGGUAUCUGACUAGAAAUUUGUCCAUUUCAUCCAGGUUUUCCAGUUUUGUUGAGUAUAGCCUUUUGUAGAAGGAUCUGAUGGUGUUUUGGAUUUCUUCAGAAUCUGUUGUUAUGUCUCCCUUUUCAUUUUAGAUUUUCUUAAUUAAACG
rnacentral:lncRNA from 1 species